GCUCCCUCCGCGCCAUCAGACUCCUACGAGAGGCAGCAGUGGGAAAUAUUGCGCAAUGGGCGAAAGCCUGACGCAGCAACGCCGCGUGAGGGAUGAAGGCCUUCGGGUUGUAAACCUCUUUCGAGCAGGGACGAUAAUGACGGUACCUGCAGAAGAAGCUCCGGCCAACUACGUGCCAGCAGCCGCGGUAAUAC
rnacentral:rRNA from 1 species